AGCAAUUAUGGAUAGCAUGAUUUUAGGCGUGGCCAAAUUAUAAAACACAGUCAAAUUGUGCUAUAAAAAAGAUAGUGCGAAUUAAGAAAAACUCCGGGUAUGCACAACCACUAAAUUAGUUGCAUACUCACAUUGUCUGGAAUACAAGAAAAGUGCAGCAAUUACCUUACGACUCCCGCCCACCGGCACAAGCGUUAUACCUCCACGUGGCGGCAUUGCAGCUUUGUAACAAUUCGUGAGAAAUGUAUGAAAAUCAUUUGAUUGUCGUUGCUUGAGUUCGAAAAGCGUUGUCAGCAUGUUGAAGAAGGUCUCAUGCCAUGGCAGGCGUGUAAGUAUAAGCAUAAUCGAAUUGGAAUCGAAGUCAUAACGACAGAAGCAAAACCGCCAAUGAGUAUCUUCCGCCGUCAACACAAACGAAUACAUCACCACUGGAACGCUGCAAAAUAUUGUAUUUUAAUUAACGCGUAAUAUUAAAAGUAGCUACUCACUCUUCGUUUUCGCACGGCGUACUCGCAAACAACUGCAGCAUCUUCAAUAUUUUGUCAUCACGAAAAUUUGUGGGAAAUUUUUCCUUGAUCGAUAUUACAUUUGGAUUAUUUUU